GAUUAGUGGCGACGGGUGAGUAACACGUGGGCAAUCUGCCCUUCACUCUGGGACAAGCCCUGGAAACGGGGUCUAAUACCGGAUACGAGCCGGGGAGGCAUCUCCCGGGCUGGAAAGCUCCGGCGGUGAAGGAUGAGCCCGCGGCCUAUCAGCUUGUUGGUGGGGUAAUGGCCUACCAAGGCGACGACGGGUAGCCGGCCUGAGAGGGCGACCGGCCACACUGGGACUGAGACACGGCCCAGACUCCUACGGGAGGCAGCAGUGGGGAAUAUUGCACAAUGGGCGAAAGCCUGAUGCAGCGACGCCGCGUGAGGGAUGACGGCCUUCGGGUUGUAAACCUCUUUCAGCAGGGAAGAAGCGAGAGUGACGGUACCUGCAGAAGAAGCGCCGGCUAACUACGUGCCAGCAGCCGCGGUAAUACGUAGGGCGCAAGCGUUGUCCGGAAUUAUUGGGCGUAAAGAGCUCGUAGGCGGCUUGUCACGUCGGGUGUGAAAGCCCGGGGCUUAACCCCGGGUCUGCAUCCGAUACGGGCAGGCUAGAGUGUGGUAGGGGAGAUCGGAAUUCCUGGUGUAGCGGUGAAAUGCGCAGAUAUCAGGAGGAACACCGGUGGCGAAGGCGGAUCUCUGGGCCAUUACUGACGCUGAGGAGCGAAAGCGUGGGGAGCGAACAGGAUUAGAUACCCUGGUAGUCCACGCCGUAAACGUUGGGAACUAGGUGUUGGCGACAUUCCACGUCGUCGGUGCCGCAGCUAACGCAUUAAGUUCCCCGCCUGGGGAGUACGGCCGCAAGGCUAAAACUCAAAGGAAUUGACGGG
rnacentral:rRNA from 1 species